rnacentral:lncRNA from 1 species
UAACACUUGUUUACAUCUGCGUUAGGGCAGCCUUGAAUAAGCGUGAACCUCCCACAGAUGCUAAUUCAUAUCAGCUCUCCUUUGUGUUAAAUAUUUAUGUUCCUAAUAGGCACGCCUAAGAAAAAUACUGGCAAAUGAGGCCGCAACUCAACUCCAUUACAACUCAAUUUUACCUCAGUGCAAGUCGCAUCUCAAACGAGCAGGAUGAGAACAACAUUCUAUUUACAGAGCACAGCAGCCCGGCCAUUAGCGAUCUGUCGAUGGGAUGACAAUAAAACCCAUCGGUGGCAACUUCCAAAGACUUUCUGUGGCUGCCUGGACCCCCAAAAGCAGGCGAGAUUUGGGUAAAUCCCCACGGCAGCAAAACACAGAACAAGCCAGGCCCAAAGAAAACGCUGAGACACUCCUACCCGGAGAUCACACCCAUUCCCAGGCUCACGGAGGGACAAAGAGGGAGCCGGCACGGGAGAGUUCCAACCAACUCUGCGUUUGCAUCAAAUAUCCGCCGCUCUGAAUUCGCUGAAUAAUGAUUAAGUGCUGCUUUCAUUAAAAACCUGUUUUGUCCAGGUUUAGGAGGGUACAGGAGGGAUUUUUUUAUUUUUUUUUUCCGCCCUGUUCUCGGUCUCUGCGGGACAAAGCAAGGUGCGGUGCGGGGUUAACUCUUGGGGCCAAAGAGCUCCAGCCCCUGGCUCUGGCUGUCCCCAGAUUUGGCAAAGCUGUUCCGAGGGGAAAAGUUCUGGGGGAAGAUCCCUGCUUUUCUGCUCCCUGCAAGGCCGAGCUGGCUGUCCCUGUGCUCACAAGGACAGGGUGAGGAUUAGUGACUGGGAUGGGGAUGUAACAGAGCAUUGGAGUGUUUAACUGGGCUGCCCUUCCAGGAGCAGAGCAAUGAUAAACCAGACAGCCCCAGCAGAGUUUGCUGAGCCACCUUCAGCGGCAGAAAGCUGUGUGAGUGGACACCUGUAGCUUAUUGCUGAGGAAAAAAUGACCUGUGAAGGAGGGCUGUAAUAUUGCAGCCACUGAAGGCUGCCUGAUGUGGCUGGCUGGGGGUGAUCUGAGGAAAAACCAUCUCCUGGCAUUCCCAGCUUGCAUUCCUGCCUGCCAUGUGCGUGGUGCUGCUCACUGCUGAAGGAACAUCCCUGUCUGGAGAGGGCACUGCUUGGUACCUUGUCAUCACCCCCAGCUCUGCUUUUGGGGGACCCAGGGCAGUGUCCAGCUGUGUUCUGCACAUCUCUGAGGAUGGAGACUUUUGGGGGACCCAGGGCAGUGUCCAGCUGUGUUCUGCACAUCUCUGAGGAUGGAGACAACACACAACCUCUCAGAACUGGGAACUAUUCUCACCCUUCCCUUCGGAUACAUUUUUCUCUUGUCACUUCCUUAAUUUUCUAGAUUAGCCCCCACAAUCUGAAAAUAAAUAUGAAUCAGCUCACCA